GAUGAACGCUGACAGAAUGCUUAACACAUGCAAGUCUUUGGCGAAGCUGUGCUUGCACAGCCUAGCCAAGGCGGACGGGUGAGUAACGCGUAAGGAACUUGCCCUGCAGUCAGGGAUAACAGACGGAAACGACUGAUAAGACCUGGUAAAGUCAGGCGGACUCAUGUCCAGCCUGAUGAAAAGAGAUGCUGCAGGAGAGCCUUGCGUCCUAUUAGCUUGUUGGUGGGGUAACGGCCCACCAAGGCGAUGAAAGGUAGCCGGCCUGAGAGGGUGGACGGCCACAAGGGGACUGAGAUACGGCCCUUACUCCUACGGGAGGCAGCAGUGGGGAAUAUUGGACAAUGGGGGCAACGCUGAUACAGCAAUUCUGUGUGCACGAUGAAGGUUUUCGGAUUGUAAAGUGCUUUCAGCAGGGAAGAAAAAAAUGACGGUACCUGCAGAAGAAGCGACGGCUAAAUACGUG
rnacentral:rRNA from 1 species